rnacentral:rRNA from 1 species
GAUGAACGCUAGCGGCAGGCUUAACACAUGCAAGUCGAGGGGUAUGCUGAUUUAUCGGCAGAGACCGGCGCACGGGUGCGUAACGCGUAUGCAAUCUACCUUUCACAGAGGAUAGCCCAGAGAAAUUUGGAUUAAUACCUCAUAGUAUAGCAGUUUCGCAUGAAACCACUAUUAAAGUUCCAACGGUGAAAGAUGAGCAUGCGUCCCAUUAGCUAGAUGGUAAGGUAACGGCUUACCAUGGCUACGAUGGGUAGGGGUCCUGAGAGGGAGACUCCCCCACACUGGUACUGAGACACGGACCAGACUCCUACGGGAGGCAGCAGUGAGGAUAUGGACAAUGGGCGCAA